CCGCGAUCUUGUUAGAGCGAGUGUGGGCGGCGCCGAGGGCUGCGGGGACUGUGAAAGGCCGCGGGUUGCUGGGCAGCCACAGGCAGGGCGGGUGUCUGGCCGGUCCGCGACUCCACCCCCGGAGGAGGUGGAAGGCAUCCAUUAUUCCCCGGAGCAGCCCUCCUUUUGGAUCUUUGUUCAGCAAAUAGAUAAAACAUUAAAAGAAAAAAUCGCACUUCCUUCAGUCGUUUGGACUCUGUUUCAACACGACUGUCAAG
rnacentral:lncRNA from 1 species